UACGUAGGGUGCGAGCGUUGUCCGGAAUUAUUGGGCGUAAAGGGCUCGUAGGCGGUUUGUCGCGUCGGGAGUGAAAUCCACUGGCUUAACUGGUGGCUUGCUUUCGAUACGGGCAGACUGGAGGUAUGCAGGGGAGAACGGAAUUCCUGGUGUAGCGGUGAAAUGCGCAGAUAUCAGGAGGAACACCAGUGGCGAAGGCGGUUGCCUGGAGCUUUGCUGACGCUGAGGCGCGAAAGCGUGGGGAGCGAUCCGG
rnacentral:rRNA from 1 species